rnacentral:ncRNA from 1 species
AACAGUCAAAGGCAAACUUGCUGAAAAGCAAGGACGCAAAGUCUACAGAUCUAAGGUUGUGUAAAAGGAAAACUAGUUAAUCCUUUUACAAAUUAUGAUGGCUGGGCUGCCUGA